rnacentral:hammerhead_ribozyme from 1 species
AUCCAGCUGAUGAGUCGUAGUUGGGACGAAACGCACGUCCUGUAU